AGUCGAACGGCAGCACGGACUUCGGUCUGGUGGCGAGUGGCGAACGGGUGAGUAAUGUAUCGGAACGUGUUUAGUAGCGGGUGAUAAUCUGGCUGCUGAAAGCGUAGUUGGCCACGCAUACGCCUCGGGGGAAAGCGGGGACCUUCGGGCCUCGCACUAAUAGGUUACUGAUAUCGGAUUAGCCAGUUGCGGCAACGGCUCACCAAGGCGACGAUCCGUAGCUGGGUUUGAGAGGACGACCAGCCACACUGGGACUGAGACACGGCCCAGACUCCUACGGAGGCAGCAGUGGAAUUUUGGACAAUGGGGGAAACCCUGAUCCAGCCAUCCCGCGUGUGCGAUGAAGGCCUUCGGGUUGUAAAGCACUUUUGCUAGUGAAAGAAACGGGCACGCAGGGAUAACACUCCGCGCAACUGGACGGUACCUGCAGAAUAAGCACCGCCAACCACGCCAAAGAGCCGCGGUAAUACGUAGGGUGCCAUAAUCGGAAUUACUGGGCGUAAAGCGUGCGCAGGCGGUUCGGAAAGAAAAAGAUGAAAUCCCAGAGCUUAACUUUGGAACCGCAUUUUUAACUACUGAGCUAGAGUGUGUCAGAGGAGGUGGAAUUCCGCGUGUAGCAGUGAAAUGCGUAGAUAUGCGGAGGAACACCGAUGGCGAAGGCAGCCUCCGGGGAUAACACUGAUUGCUCAUGCACGAAAGCGUGGGGAGCAAACAGGAUUAGAUACCUCUGUAGUCCACGCCCUAAACGAUGUCAACUAGCUGUUGGGGGCUUUCGCCUUGGUAGCGCAGUUAACGCGUGAAGCUGACCGCCUGGGGAGUACGGUCGCAAGAUUAAACUCAAAGGAAUUGACGGGGACCCGCACAAGCGGUGGAUGAUGUGGAUUAUUCGAUGCAACGCGAAAAACCUUACCUACCCUUGACAUGUCUGAAUCCCGAACAGAUUUGGGAGUGUGCUCGCAAGAGAACCGGAACACAGGUGCUGUACGGCUGUCGUCAGCUCGUGUCGUGAGAUGUUGUUAAGUCCCGCAACGAGCGCAACUUUGUCAUUAUGCCAAGGAAAGGGCACCCUAAUGAGACUGCCGGUGACAAACCGGAGGAAGGUGGGGAUGACGUCAAGUCCUCAUGGCCCUUAUGGUGGGCUUCACACGUCAUACAAUGGUCGGACAGAGGUCGCCAACCCGCGAGGGGAGCCAAUCCCAGAAACCCGAUCGUGUAGUCCGGAUCGCAGUCUGGUAACUCGACUGCGUGAAGUUUGAAUCGCUAGUAACGCGGAUCAGCAUGUCGCGGUAGCCACGUUCCGGUCUUGUACACACCGCCCGUCACACCAUGAGUGGGUUUUACCAGAAGUAGUUAGCCUAACCGUAUGAGUGGCGAUUACCACGGUAGGAUUCAUGACUGGGGUGAGGUCGUAACAAGGUAG
rnacentral:rRNA from 1 species